UGUCACCCACCAUCCCCACCCUCGCACUGAGGCAGUACAUGGAAAAAAAAGACCGAAGAAUGCACAGCACUCACUGAAUUUGUGAGUUGGUGACCUGAAAUAUAGAUUGUUUGUACCAUGGACACUGACAGCAGAGAGAGAGAGAACUCCAUGGGCUGGGUGGACUGGCAGGCUUCCUGGAGGAGGAAUAAUUCAAUUGGGUCAAAUUAUUUGGGGUAUAUGCUUGGGGGUGAAAUUGCUUGGUUGUAUGGUAAUUCUAUUUUUAACCUAUUGCCUCUCAGAGCUGGGGAGACCCAGCCUCCCACAGUGUGGAAAGGGGUGGAUCUAUAUUUUAAGUGCAGAAUUCUUACAUCCAUUUCACAUGUGCAGAAACCAAGGUUUGCUAUAAUUUUGUUUGCCUGAAACUCUCUAUUUAAGUGGAUACAUCAAGUGGGCUGCCAGGUUUGACCCCGUGUUUGGAUGUGACACUACACUUUCCUGAUGUUAAUUCACUGAGUCACUGGAGCCCUGUACUGGGUGCUGGAAGAACGAGGAGGAACCAGAGCCAGGCCCUACUCAAGGAGCUCACAGUCCCACAGAGGAAUGAACAGGCAGGCAGAUGCUGAUGCCACAGUGUGCCCCUGCUGGUGGGAUUACGGCAUGAAGCUAUUUUAUUCUUCCAACUUUUCUGUACGUGGAGGGUGGUGGUAAGAAGAGGACAUUUCUUCAAAAUGCCCACAGUGGCCUUAUAAUAAAUCCCACCCACCCAACCCUUCGAAACACAGAAAAUGCUUGAUGAACAUGGGAGAUGAGACGAAUGUUUCCUCCGGAACAGUCUAGGAAUCAUUUACUUGAAAUCUUUUACUUUGAGCUUGAGACCCAAGAAACAGAGGGGUGAGUGGCUUGCUGGCCCUUGUCACACAGUCCUUGAGGGGCAGCCCUGAGGGCAAAGAGAC
rnacentral:lncRNA from 1 species